CAGACAUCAUGGUGUACAGCUGUUCAUUUUGGAGAUAUAUCUGGAUUUGUUGCUUUUUAACAUCUUAACUAUAAUAUGUUGUGAAGAGAUUUGUCUCCGGUCAUGUCCAUUUGGGGUUCUAAAUGCCACUUGUGAGUGAAUCCAUUUCCUUCUCUAUAUUUGGGGAUUUCCUGCUAUGAGUUAUUUGAAUAAAGUUUCUUUGGCUUUAAUUUUCA